rnacentral:lncRNA from 1 species
GGUAGGGUGUGGCUGGAGGAGGUGGGAAUUGAAAUGUGGCUUUAGAUAUAUAUUUGUAUCUGCCAAGUGGAGUCUCUCUCUCACUCGCUCACUCUCUCUCUCUCUCUCUCUCCCCCCCCCCUUUCUGAUCAACAUGUGAGCUGUUUCCCUCUGCACAUUUUUACUCUAUCAAUACAGAGGAGGGCAAAUGGGCGAACUGAGUGCCUUAAAAUGGCUACAGGAAUGUGCUCCAGAUGCUCAAGGCAACAUCCAAGCCCAUGCCCAGGCCCAGUUCCCCAGCACACACUCAGGGGGGAACCCCAGUAAAAUGAAGACCUCCAAAAUAUAAAGAGAUAUCAAGAACCUCUCAUAACAGGCCUAAAAGCUGGGAAGGAGAGCCCUAAACAUGACCAAGGUGUCAGAAGUUCUCCAAAAGCCUGAAGAAAGCCCCAGCCAGGUCUAUGGACAACUUUCUGAAGCCUCUGACUCUUCACUCCCUUGGAUCCUGAGGCACAAGACAACCAGCAGGUGGACAACACAACCAUUGUGGGACAGGCACAGAGUAACAGUCACCCAAACUACAAAAUACUAGGGGUUUUUCUGGGAAGAAUGCCAAUGAGCUAUUUGAAGUGGCAGCCACCGUGUUUGUCAAUCAAGACCAAGAGACCCAGCAAGAAGCAGACUGAAAGAUGAAGAAGAUGGUUUCUCCUUGCAGCUUCCCUUACUACAGACCCAGAAGUCACCCAAAGGGGUUCCCACCAGGACCAAACCAAAACAAAUAUCAAAAUCAAGGUCAGAUGCAUGGCAGAAGGAUGGUCUGGGUCAGCCUCCUCACCCUGAGUCUACUGAGACUAAACUAAUACAUUUACUGCCAUCUAGAGGGUCACUGGAAAAAUGAAUGCCCCAAACUGAAGAAAGCCAACCGAGUUCCUGCUACUCCUUACCAGGAUAAGAGAGGCCAAGUCCUUCAAGGAUGAUGCCAGUCCUAUAAAUGUGUCCCCCAUAACGCUCAAUGCCACAGGCACCCCUAUGAUGCCCAUGAGAAAAUUUUUGUGGGACUGGAAGUCAUGGAAAUUAUGAUGAGGACUAUGACUGACUGGGCUCCAUCCCUUUGGGCCCCCAGAAGCCUGAGGUCGAAAUGCUCCUAGGGGACUAACCUAUGAACUUGAUGAUGGACACUGCAGCUCACCAUUUGGUUGUGACCCAACGUUUGGACCCACUUUCCAAGAAAGGGACCACAAUUUGGGGGCCCCAGGCAAUAAAGCUCAUCAUCCUUUUCUGUUACCACACAUUUCAAUUUAGCAGGCCAUAAAGUAGUCCACGAGAUCCUGUACAUGCCAGAUUGCCCAGUGCAUUGAUGGGUUGAGUCCUGGUAGAAAAUCUCCAAGCCCAGAUAAUUGUUGAUGCAAAAGGCCAGUUAAUUAUAGUCCUCAUCAUAAUUGGGAAAACCUAAGCAAAUAUUUUGCCCUCACAAUUCCCUGGGAAGAGGAGUGGCACCUCUUCAGUCUAGUAGAAACAUUACAACAGGAACCAGACAUCUCUUUCCAAGCACAAGGAGUAUGGACAGAGGCCAACCCACCUGGACUAGCCCAAAAUUUUUCCCAGUGGUGAUGGAAUUAAAACCUGAAGCCAUACCUGUACACUGAGAUGACAUCAUAUUCCUUAUAAGACAACACUUGGAAUUCAAAAACAUUUGGACACACUUUUACACUAUGGAAUUCUCAGAACUCACCAAUCACCAUGAAAUACACCUCUUUUGCCUGUCCAGAACCAGGAACUGAUGAUUAUUGGCCAGCCCCAGAUUUACAUGCAGAAAAUCAAGCCAGAGUCACCUUACAUCCUGUGGUCCCCAAUCCACAUAAUCUCCUAAGUCUGCCCCCAGCUGAGGCGGGCUACUUCACAUGUCUGGACCUUAAAGAUGCCUUCUUCUGCAUGCAAUUAGUACCGAAGAGUCAGCCACCCUUUGCCUUCCAAUGAGAAGACUCCAAUGGGAACAAGGGCCAAUUGACCUGGACUAGGUUACCACAAGGUUUCAAAAAUCCACCAACCAUCUUUGGGAUGGUGCUGGCCUCUGACUUAAAAGCCUUUCCUGCAAAACAAUGUGGAUGCACUUUGUUCCAAUAUGUAGAUGAUCUGUUCCUGUCUGGAGCAACCAGAGAAGACGGCAUAAAAAGAACACAGCUGCUUCCCACUCUCCUAUGUAAGGCUGGUUACAAAGUUUCACAAAAGAAAGCCCAGAUCUGUCAAGAAAAGUAAAGAACCUUGGUUUCUGU